UGUAGUGAUUUAUUGUUUUUGCUGCACAGAAUGGGUUUGUAACACAGGUUUUAUGUGUAAAAGUGUAUUAGAAUGCAGGACAGCUACAAGUUACUACAUUAGUUCACUAGCAUUGGUCAGUGGUCACUGAGUGAUUCCCCAGCAGGGGGAUGGGCUUUACAUACUCUGCAGGCUCCAGAAGGAUGACUCAUCCACAUGAACGAGCACGCAAGGACUGAGCUCUCAGGGUGAGUCAUGAGGAGGCGUGGCCGGCCUUCACUCAACUGCCUGAGCCAAACCAGGAAGUUAUCAGGACAUCUACUGCUGGUAAGAUUGAAAAAGCAAAGUGGGACAACCCCUUUAAUGCAACUUAUUUUUUAUAGGAAAAAU